UGCCAGCCGCCGCGGUAAUACGGAGGGUGCAAGCGUUGUUCGGAAUUACUGGGCGUAAAGCGCGCGUAGGCGGCGUAGUAAGUUGGGAGUGAAAUCCCGGGGCUUAACCCCGGAACUGCUCUCAAAACUGCUAUGCUAGAGUGUGGUAGGGGAUAGCGGAAUUCCUAGUGUAGAGGUGAAAUUCGUAGAUAUUAGGAGGAACACCAGAGGCGAAGGCGGCUAUCUGGACCACUACUGACGCUAAGGCGCGAAAGCGUGGGGAGCGAACGGGAUUAGAUA
rnacentral:rRNA from 1 species